ensembl:snRNA U6 U6 spliceosomal RNA
GUGCUCGCUUCAGCAGCACACAUACUAAAACUGGAACAAUACAGAGAAGAUUAGCAUAGCCCCUGAACAAGGAUGACACGCAAAGUUUUUAAGUGUCCCAUAUUUAA